UGUGAGGGAACCCCUCGGGCUCUUUCCACCUCCCUCCCGGACGGCAGCCGGGUGAGUCUGAGCGAGUUUCCUAAGACUUAGGCGUGACUCAGUUUCACACAGUGAGCCUCCCACGGCCGCCUCGCCGGCAGACAGCAGCCGCUCUUAUCUGGGGACACCUCCCCGUCCCCCUCCUUCUUCCCACCGACCGACCGGUGGGAGAGAGCAAAGUUCUCACCGGCAGGCUUUCCCCGGAGAGAGACUCGGCUUUAAGGGGGUACAGUGUGGAUGCAGACGAUCUUCCCGGGGAGAUAAAUCAGAGCCCCUCCACAGCCCCCGUCAAAAUCAUAAGGAGAUUUCAGACCAAUGGAAGGAAAAGGGGAAACUGGUCAAAGAAACAUCCCCCAGCUGACUUGACGGUGUGGCCGCCCCACUGAGAAACGCUCAUGCAGGAGGCAGCACUCUCAAUCCCCGGGAGUGUGAGGGCCCAAAGAGACCAUCCUGCAUUCGAGGAAAGGGCGAGAGCUCGAAGGCGAAGGAACCGAUCUUCUAUCAUGUGUAACAGUUGGUGCCCAUAUAGGGUGGGACUAUUACCAGGCAUGAUGUCUUAAGAAUGAUCCAUCGUGCCCUUCAGCCUCCAAGGAAGGAAGUAGAUGACAACAGAGGAAAUAAUAGCUGGGAUUAACUUUGAGACUGCAAAAUAGAUAGACAGGAAAGGUAGGAAAAGGAAAAGAAGAGCAAUAAGAACGAUGACAUUAACAAAGAGAUCAUCAAAAAGCUACAACAGGAAGAGAACACAUGCUAAGUUUUUUAAAAACCAGUUAACUGAAGGCUGAGAACCUUUCCUCCUCACCCUGCGAUGCCCGGGGCGAUUGUAAGACUUUCUCAACCUGACAUAAUGCAGAAAGAUACUAAUCUGAAAAAGCAUUUCACCCCACCGCGGCAUCCACGUCUGACAGCGUCACCUGCAUGCCAUCUCUACUCCUCCUCGCUGACUGGUCCCAGGUGGGACUCCUCUCGGGGGGAUAAGGCAGUCAAGGCGUGACUUUGAUCAGCCACUGACCCCCUGGUCUGCAUCUUGUGAAGAACAGACAUUUUCCUUGAAGUACUGAAUGAACCAUAA